rnacentral:rRNA from 1 species
GAUGAACGCUGGCGGCGUGCCUAAUACAUGCAAGUCGAGCGAACGGACGAGAAGCUUGCUUCUCUGAUGUUAGCGGCGGACGGGUGAGUAACACGUGGAUAACCUACCUAUAAGACUGGGAUAACUUCGGGAAACCGGAGCUAAUACCGGAUAAUAUUUUGAACCGCAUGGUUCAAAAGUGAAAGACGGUCUUGCUGUCACUUAUAGAUGGAUCAGCGCUGCAUUAGCUAGUUGGUAAGGUAACGGCUUACCAAGGCAACGAUGCAUAGCCGACCUGAGAGGGUGAUCGGCCACACUGGAACUGAGACACGGUCCAGACUCCUACGGGAGGCAGCAGUAGGGAAUCUUCCGCAAUGGGCGAAAGCCUGACGGAGCAACGCCGCGUGAGUGAUGAAGGUCUUCGGAUCGUAAAACUCUGUUAUUAGGGAAGAACAUAUGUGUAAGUAACAGUGCACAUCUUGACGGUACCUAAUCAGAAAGCCACGGCUAACUACGUG